rnacentral:rRNA from 1 species
GACGAACGCUGGCGGCGUGCUUAACACAUGCAAGUCGAACGGAAAGGCCCUGCUUUUGUGGGGUGCUCGAGUGGCGAACGGGUGAGUAACACGUGAGUAACCUGCCCUUGACUUUGGGAUAACUUCAGGAAACUGGGGCUAAUACCGGAUAGGAGCUCCUGCUGCAUGGUGGGGGUUGGAAAGUUUCGGCUGUUGGGGAUAGACUCGCGGCUUAUCAGCUUGUUGGUGGGGUAGUGGCUUACCAAGGCUUUGACGGGUAGCCGGCCUGAGAGGGUGACCGGCCACAAUGGGACUGAGAUACGGCCCAGACUCCUACGGGAGGCAGCAGUGGGGAAUAUUGCACAAUGGGCGGAAGCCUGAUGCAGCAACGCCGCGUGCGGGAUGACGGCCUUCGGGUUGUAAACAGCUUUCGACUGUGACGAAGCGUGAGUGACGGUAAUGGGUAAAGAAGCACCGGCUAACUACGUG